CGUGUAGGCGGCCAAACAGGUCCGUUGUGAAAACUGGAGGCUUAACCUCCAGACGUCGACGGAAACCGUGUGGCUAGAGUCCGGAAGAGGAGAGUGGAAUUCCUGGUGUAGCGGUGAAAUGCGCAGAUAUCAGGAAGAACACCAAUGGCGAAGGCAGCUCUCUGGGAUGGUACUGACGCUGAGACGCGAAAGCGUGGGAGCGAACA
rnacentral:rRNA from 1 species